GCUGUGGCUCAGGGGUAGCACACUUGCCUGGCAUGUAUGAGCCACUGGGUUCGAUUCUCAGCACUGCG
rnacentral:tRNA from 1 species